rnacentral:rRNA from 1 species
AGAGUUUGAUCAUGGCUCAGGACGAACGCUGGCGGCAUGCCUAACACAUGCAAGUCGAACGAGAAAGUUCCUUCGGGAGCAAUUAAAGUGGCGCACGGGUGAGUAACGCGUAGACAAUCUGCCCUUCAGUCUGGGACAACUUUUCGAAAGGAGAGCUAAUACCGGAUAACAAUGCAUGACACAAGUUGUAUAUUUGAAAGCUUUAUGUGCUGAAGGAGGGGUCUGCGUCCCAUUAGCUAGUUGGUAAGGUAAAGGCUUACCAAGGCAACGAUGGGUAGCGGGUUUGAGAGGACGAUCCGCCACACUGGAACUGAGACACGGUCCAGACUCCUACGGGAGGCAGCAGUGGGGAAUAUUGCACAAUGGAGGAAACUCUGAUGCAGCAAUGUCGCGUGAGUGAAGAAGGCCCUUGGGUCGUAAAGCUCUUUUAUGGGGGAAGAUGAUGACGGUACCCCAAGAAUAAGCACCGGCUAACUAUGUGCCAGCAGCCGCGGUAAUACAUAGGGUGCGAGCGUUGUUCGGAAUUACUGGGCGUAAAGGGCGCGCAGGCGGAAUAGUAAGUCGGAGGUGAAAGCCCGGGGCUCAACCCCGGAGGGUCUUUCGAAACUACUAAUCUAGAGAGGGUCAGGGGCCGGCAGAAUUCCUGGUGUAGAGGUGAAAUUCGUAGAUAUCAGGAGGAAUACCGG